UUAUUUCAUCUUUCUCUUUAUUCUGACAACACUAUGACAUUAAAUAAAGUCCAAGAGGUAUUGGGUUAGUCCUUGUUUGGUCUCUGGUGAUUUAGAUAAGGCAGAACUGAGCCCCCAGGAAUGUAUUAUCUCAAAAAGCUAGUAGCGGCUACUGUGCAAAGUUCUAAGGCCCAAGUCAAAUCCUGGGCAUCAGACAUGGCAGGGAAACGAACUCCAAACCUAGGACACAGGUUGAAUUAUCUCACAUAAACGGAAUUUAAAAAAUUCUCCCACAGCUCCUAGAAGUCUUUAAAUCCUACCCAUCAAAAAAAAAACGGAGUAACAUACAUACCUUUCAUCAUUGGGCCCUCUGAGAGGGUUCUGACCACUGAAACCAGGUAGGUUGAUAUGGUCACGGAUCAGCAUGAUAUCUCCAACCUCAAACUUGGGGUUCAGCCCUCCUGCUGCAUUGGUGACCACCAGGGUGUCCACACCCAGAAGGUGGAAAACCC
rnacentral:lncRNA from 1 species